rnacentral:lncRNA from 1 species
GCUACUCCACGUAAAAAAUGAUGCAAUCUUACGCUAUCAAAUCUCUACUAGCUCUCUUCCUCCCCACGGAAAACAAAUCCAUAUCUCUCUCUCAUAUUGGAUCAAGCCAGUAGGGAUAUGGAUCCGAUGAGCUCAUGGAACGACAAUAAAUUCAAGUCAUGGACCGGAUUUGACGAGCCCUAAUCAGCAACCCCUAGGUGACACUGCAUUGCUCCGUCAGAUUUGUCCUCAAGAAGGGGAUGUAACGUAUGCAAUGGCCGCAACCUGGGAGAAGAUGUAAGCGGUCUGCAAGUGCAAAAACCUGGAGCUGAGCAGAAGGAGGUUCUCCAGAUCAGGCAUAUAUUAAUAAUGUUUUAUGUUUUAAAUGAUAUUGCAGGUGAUCUAAUAUUACUACUUUGGCUAUUCGAUUCUUGGCUUCCGAUAAUUUCAUCCCUGAAGGAAAGGUUGCACGUG